UGGGGGAUAUUGCACAAUGGAGGAAACUCUGAUGCAGCGACGCCGCGUGAGUGAAGAAGGCCUUCGGGUCGUAAAGCUCUGUCCUAGGGGAAGAUAAUGACGGUACCCUAGGAGGAAGCCCCGGCUAACUACGUGCCAGCAGCCGCGGUAAUACGUAGGGGGCGAGCGUUGUCCGGAAUUGCUGGGCGUAAAGAGUUCGUAGGCGGUCUGAUAAGUCAGAUGUGAAAGGCGUAGGCUUAACCUAUGUAAGCAUAUGAAACUGUCAGACUUGAGGUAAGGAGAGGAAAGUGGAAUUCCUAGUGUAGCGGUGAAAUGCGUAGAUAUUAGGAGGAAUACCAGUGGCGAAGGCGACUUUCUGGACAUAAACUGACGCUGAGGAACGAAAGCGUGGGGAGCAAACA
rnacentral:rRNA from 1 species